rnacentral:rRNA from 1 species
UGGGGAAUCUUAGACAAUGGGGGAAACCCUGAUCUAGCCAUGCCGCGUGAGUGACGAAGGCCUUAGGGUCGUAAAGCUCUUUCGCCAGGGAUAAUAAUGACAGUACCUGGUAAAGAAACCCCGGCUAACUCCGUGCCAGCAGCCGCGGUAAUACGGAGGGGGUUAGCGUUGUUCGGAAUUACUGGGCGUAAAGCGCACGUAGGCGGACUUUUAAGUCGGGGGUGAAAUCCCAGGGCUCAACCCUGGAACUGCCUCCGAUACUGGAAGUCUUGAGUUCGAGAGAGGUGAGUGGAAUUCCGAGUGUAGAGGUGAAAUUCGUAGAUAUUCGGAAGAACACCAGUGGCGAAGGCGGCUCACUGGACGACUGUUGACGCUGAGGUGCGAAAGCGUGGGGAGCAA